GACGAACGCUGGCGGCGUGCUUAACACAUGCAAGUCGAACGGAAAGGCCCUGCUUUUGUGGGGUGCUCGAGUGGCGAACGGGUGAGCAACACGUGAGUAACCUGCCCUUGACUUUGGGAUAACUUCAGGAAACUGGGGCUAAUACCGGAUAGGAGCUCCUGCUGCAUGGUGGGGGUUGGAAAGUUUCGGCGGUUGGGGAUGGACUCGCGGCUUAUCAGCUUGUUGGUGGGGUAGUGGCUUACCAAGGCUUUGACGGGUAGCCGGCCUGAGAGGGUGACCGGCCACAUUGGGACUGAGAUACGGCCCAGACUCCUACGGGAGGCAGCAGUGGGGAAUAUUGCACAAUGGGCGGAAGCCUGAUGCAGCAACGCCGCGUGCGGGAUGACGGCCUUCGGGUUGUAAACCGCUUUCGCCUGUGACGAAGCGUGAGUGACGGUAAUGGGUAAAUAAGCACCGGCUAACUACGUG
rnacentral:rRNA from 1 species